GCAGGAAGGCUCAGAUCUCCAUAUAUGCAAAAAAAGUCCUUUGUCUCCAGACAAUCUAUUUAGGUACACUCCUUUCAUCUUGAAGGUAACCAGGACGACAGGCCAAGGACAAUUUUCAGCUUGAAGAACAGAACUGAAAAACCACUAGUGGACUGAAAAUUUGAGUCUCUACAGUAAAAUAGAACUGGUUGGGCCUGGAUUUAAGUGCAUGCAGUAACCUUCACUCCAGAGAAGAACACUGAUUCUUGAAACUGAAAGUUGAAGACCAAGUGUCUUUAAGACACCAGUUAUUGACACCCACAAAAACCAGGCCUGUUGAU